UACGGAGGGCGCGAGCGUUACUCGGAAUUACUGGGCGUAAAGCGCGCGUAGGCUGUUGUGUAAGUUGGGGGUGAAAUCCCACGGCUCAACCGUGGAACAGCCCUUGAUACUGCGCGACUUGAAUCCGGGAGAGGGUGGCGGAAUUCCAGGUGUAGGAGUGAAAUCCGUAGAUAUCUGGAGGAACAUCAGUGGCGAAGGCGGCCACCUGGACCGGUAUUGACGCUGAGGCGCGAAAGCCUGGGGAGCAAACAGG
rnacentral:rRNA from 1 species